GAACUUAAGCAUAUCAAUAAGCGGAGGAAAAGAAACCAACUGGGAUUGCCUCAGUAACGGCGAGUGAAGCGGCAUCAGCUCAGAUUUGAAAUCUGGUUCUUUCAGAGCCCGAGUUGUAAUCUGUAGAGGAGUCUUCGGGUUUGGAUCUGGCCUAAGUUUCUUGGAACAGAACGUCAUAGAGGGUGAGAGUCCCGUAUGAGGCCAGCUACCUAUUCCCAUGUGAAGCUUCUUCGACGAGUCGAGUUGUUUGGGAAUGCAGCUCAAAAUGGGUGGUAAAUUUCAUCUAAAGCUAAAUAUUGGCGGGAGACCGAUAGCGCACAAGUAGAGUGAUCGAAAGAUGAAAAGCACUUUGAAAAGAGAGUUAAAAAGUACGUGAAAUUGUUGAAAGGGAAACGCUUGCGAUUAGACUUGCGCUCAGGUGAUCAACCGGUGUUCUCACCGGUGCACUCUCCUGCUUGCAGGCCAGCAUCGGUUUGGGCGGUUGGAUAAAGGCCCUAGGAAUGUAGCUGCCCUCGGGCAGUGUUAUAGCCUAGGGUGUAAUGCAGCCAGCCUGGACCGAGGACCGCGCUUCGGCUAGGGUGCUGGCAUAAUGGUCGUAAGCGACCCGUCUUGAAACACGGACCAAGGAGUCUAACAUCUAUGCGAGUGUUUGGGUGGAAAACCCAAGCGCGUAAUGAAAGUGAACGUAGGUGAGAACCCCUAAGGGUGCAUCAUCGACCGAUCUUGAUGUCUUCGGAUGGAUUUGAGUAAGAGCAUAGCUGUUGGGACCCGAAA
rnacentral:rRNA from 1 species